rnacentral:rRNA from 1 species
AUUGAACGCUGGCGGCAGGCCUAACACAUGCAAGUCGAGCGGAUGAAGGGAGCUUGCUCCUGGAUUCAGCGGCGGACGGGUGUGUAAUGCCUAGGAAUCUGCCUGGUAGUGGGGGAUAACGUCCGGAAAAGGGCGCUAAUAACGCAUAAGUGCUGCGGGAGAUAGAGGGGGAUGUUUGGACAUCACGCUAUCAGAUGAGUGUAGGUCGGGUUGGCUAGUUGGUGGGGUAAUGGCCUACCAAGGGGAGUAUUCGUAACUGGACUGAGUGGAUGAUUGGUCACCUGGGAACGUGAACACGCUCACUACGCCUACGGGAGGCAGCAGUGGGGAAUAGUGGGCAAUAGGCGAAAACCUUGUCCAACCAGGCCGCGUGUGUGAAGAAGGUCUUCGGAUUGUAAAGCACUUUAAGUUGUGAUGAAGGGCAUUAGGUUAAUACCUAGCUGUUUUGACGGUACCAACAGAAUAAGCACCGGCUAACUUCGUG